UGGUGUGUGUUGUUUUUUCUCGUCAUUACUCGAUGAAAUUACCUUAGUUUUAGUCGGGGAUCAUUUAAGGGUGUAGUCCACGUACAAAACGUUCGGAAAAAACGCAUUCAUAACUUAGAUGGGCGUCAUGACGUGUUACACAGUGAGCGGCUCUAUUAGGGAGCUAAUUCCAUAUAGAAUCAGGAGAGCGCCGCAGUUCCUGUCGAUAAUGAUGGUAUUUUCAUAACACUGGACUGGGAAGCAGGAGGAAGUUCUCAAUUCUCAAAGCGGCGACUUAAGGUUGAGUGCCUUGCGACAGCGACAAUUUGCAUUUAAUUGUAAAAUAUUCAACUUAAUAAAAAUCAAAUAAACCUACCUGUUUGGCUACUGCAGAACCAGCAAACACUACCAAUUAAAAUAGUUUUCAACAUCUUUAACUGUUGCUUUGAAGUUUUAAACACACAGCUAAAGCCACUAGAUAAUGUUUUGUUUAAAAAAAAAUGGCAAAUGACCAUACAAGCAGCGACCCAACACUAAUGAAAGCAGCAAAAUGUUCCAUUUCAUUACAUCGCUCAAUUCCAAGAGUGACUAACCCGAUUAAUUCAGGCAAUUAAGCUUUAUUAGUUGCAGUUUAAACUUUGUGCAUGAAUCCUGUUUGCUGAUAAUGCGGUCCUUUAUAGCCAUCCGCGAUUUAUUUGACUAACUUUAGACAAUAGUGGACAACAUUGACUUACUUUUGCAUUCGAGAGACAACAUCGGCAGUCAUGUUUGCUUUCCGUUUUGCAUUCCAAUCGAAAGCCUCCAAAUCGGUGUUCAAAUUAUCCGAUUCUUCAUUACCCUCGUUGAUUAUAGAUUGGCUUCUGGAUGUUCUAGGAGUUAUGCUUUUGAUCUGAAAAGAUCUUUCAAUGAAGUACUUUCCAGGCUUAAUUGAACGUAGCCAAACCUCUUGAUCAGUGCCUGAAGAAGUGGUGACUUGAAUAACUUUAAAGGGUCCAGAAAACGUCCUCUCUUUUCGAUCUCGACCGCUCAGCUUCAGCUUGGCCAGCAUCUUGGUGGACAGCAGCUCCUUCUUGAACGAGUUGCGCUCAUUUCUGAGCACAGUUUUACGCUUCUGAGAUUCCUCCUUUUGCAUUUGCUUCAACCUGAAACAGCAUUGAACAAUUGUAUAACGGCGCGUGCCAACCCAACUACAGCAACGGAAAUUACUCGUUAUCUAAGAUUAUGUUAUAAACAUUUCAACGGUAUGGUUUAAGCUGAUUGUAGAUAUGAUUAGUGUUGGAAUAGCGCGUCAGAGGAAGACGCGUACUAUCUGUUAAGUACUGAAUAAAAUUUGAUCAAUAUAA